GGGUUUGUUGCAUAGCAUGGAUAGUGCAAUUGCUUGCGGAGCAUUAGGUCGAGGGUUCAAAUCCCUUCAAGCCCA
rnacentral:tRNA from 1 species